rnacentral:lncRNA from 1 species
UAUGAUGAAUUUGUUGUUUGAUGAUGAAAAAUAAAUCUUUGAUGUUCGAUUAUCAUGUUUAAAUAAGUGAUUUUUUAUAAAAAUCUAAAUUAUAGAUUUCUUUGUGGAAUUUGAAAAUUUAGGGGCUUAAAUGUGAAAUAAAUGAAAUAUAUGGGCUGCUAGGGACCAUAGAAGAUUCGGCUAAGGCAUGGUUUUGAUGAAUUUUGUGUAUUUGGUGUAUUUUUGUAUUAAGGACUAAAAUGUCCAAAAUGUGAAAUUUGAGGGCUAAAGUGUAAAUGCCCUAAUUAGGUGUUUAUGGAUUGAAUUAAAUGAGAUGUGUUAUUAAAUAGCCAAAUUUGAACUUAUUUAGAUCAAGAAAAGAGGAAAUCGGAUUUUGAUUAGGGAAA